rnacentral:rRNA from 1 species
CCUACGGGUGGCAGCAGUGAGGAAUAUUGGUCAAUGGACGAGAGUCUGAACCAGCCAAGUAGCGUGAAGGAUGACUGCCCUAUGGGUUGUAAACUUCUUUUAUAUGGGAAUAAAAUGUUCCACGUGUGGGAUUUUGUAUGUACCAUAUGAAUAAGGAUCGGCUAACGCCGUGCCAGCAGCCGCGGUAAUACGGAGGAGCCGAGCGUUAUCCGGAUUUAUUGGGUUUAAAGGGAGCGUAGGUGGAUUGUUAAGUCAGUUGUGAAAGUUUGCGGCUCAACCGUAAAAUUGCAGUUGAAACUGGCAGUCUUGAGUACAGUAGAGGUGGGCGGAAUUCGUGGUGUAGCGGUGAAAUGCUUAGAUAUCACGAAGAACUCCGAUUGCGAAGGCAGUUCACUGGACUGCAACUGACACUGAGGCGCGAAAGUGUGGGUAUCAAACAGGAUUAGAUACCCCAGUAGUC